rnacentral:misc_RNA from 1 species
AAGACACUAAUUUUGAAUUCAUGAAAUCCUUUACAAAAUGACCUAAGUUGUAAAUGUUAUUCAUCCUACAUGAGUUGAUGAACAUAUAUGAGAUGUUAUUAUAUACUUAGGACUUAUGUUUCCCAUUACCAAUGAUAUGAAAAUGCUAUAAAACACAACUAGUACAUAAUAUGAACUAAUGAAACUAUAAAUACUUAAUAA